ACCUGAGGCUGAUUAUGUCCUUUAUACCUUUGGGCAACCGUUCAAGAUUGCUGCAACUAUCAAGCAGUAAAGUUUGCAAACUAUGUAGCUUGCAAAUGGAAUCUGGAAGUUGCUUGAUUCUGCGAUUUUCUGUUAGGUCGAGAUAUCUCAAAUGUUUCAAACUUCCGAUAGAAUUUGGCAACACCUCAAAGGAUGAUUUUCUCAAAUCAAGCACCCGCAAGUACUUAAAUCUUGAGAUACAUGCUUUAAGUAUGGACAUGGGUUGCUUUGUUUUGAAAAUAAUAGUCUGAACUUUGCUCAACCUCUCUAAUUGUGUUGUAACUUCUUGCCCACUCUCCAAAAUUGACAGAUGACAAACUUUGGCAGCAAGGGUGGACGUCUUGGUCACUACCGAACACUCACCUUUGGCAAUUGAGAUUGCAAGAUCAUGGACAAGAUCGUGCAUUUUAAAGGUGAUUGAAGAAUUCCAUGUGCCAUCCAAAAUUGAACCAAUUGAGAAUUAGUGAAUUUAUAAUUCUUUGGGAAAAGAGAGCAAUAGGCAAAGCAUUGCUUCAAGUGAAACGGCAAUUGAUUGUAACUCAACCUCAAUGCAGGUACCUACUGCCAAUCUCAGUUGAGCAUGUGUCUAGACUCUCGAGAGGCAAAUAGAUUUCUAGACAGACUAUAGUUGACCAAGGGAGCAACCAAAUGCAGAGGGAAAUACUUUAUGACACAUUCUUUAAAGUCUUAAUAGCUGUUUUUAUAACCAGAAAUCCUAUAUCUUGGGAUUCUGAAUUAGACAGCCCUUGGGGCCUUAACGGUUCUGUGGCAAUAUGAUCCACAGAGUUCGGAUAUAAUUGCAAAUAAGUGAUGGCAAAAUUGUAAGUAGGUGGAUUUAUCCAUGGUCUCUGUAU